rnacentral:lncRNA from 1 species
UGUCUAAUUAUUGCAUACCACAUUUUCAUAACCUUAUCAAACUGCGGUGUAUAUGCUUAAAAUAACACUCCCCGACACAAGAAAGGCUUCAAUCUAGACGAACCGCAUGAAUCUGUUAAUCCUAGAAAUGAAGCUACAAUAAUCAUUCUUGACUUGCCUGAGAUUAACUAGAUACAGUAGCUAUGUUGCUGUUUCAGAAUCGGUGAGUGAGUCUUUCCGACGCCGCUCAUUCCGAACGAGUCCACUGGCCAUUUCUCAUAAACAGCAUACUCAUUAAUUCGUCAUAGGUUAGGUUGAUUAAUGAUUAGGUUGGACGAGCUAGGAAGCAUGAUUCUUCGAGUUUCUCUCCGCACAGCAAACUAAUUUUGUUGGACAAUUCAAUCAAGAGAUAAAAAUGUUUCAAAUGCCAUGAGCUGGAGGUACCUGAAGAUAGUG